rnacentral:lncRNA from 12 species
UAUUUACAGAUUAGAAGGCAGAAAUUCUAAGACUGUUAACAGUUGUCAUUGCCUACCAAACUCAUGGAUUUCCAUCAGCAGUUUCUAAAAUUUAUGCUAAUAAGAUUAAUAUCCUGGAUUUAAUGAAACAGUGUCUAUAGAGAGAUCUGAGAUCUGGCAUAAGAUCUGAGAAAUAGGUCCCUGUACUUUUGGAAAUUCUAAGGAUCUCCUUUCAACACCAGUAUUUUCUGUGGUUACAGAAGCAUCUUCAGUCAGUUGUCACAAGAGUCUGACAUCUGUUUUUCUUGAAAAAUACUUUACUACUCCUGAAGCAGAGUUCGAUUUGCCAAGAUAUAUUAUAACACCCAGUGCUCAUCCUGUCAAGUGCAACAACACACUUCAGAAUUG